rnacentral:rRNA from 1 species
AUUGAACGCUGGCGGCAGGCCUAACACAUGCAAGUCGAGCGGAUGAAGGGAGCUUGCUCCUGGAUUCAGCGGCGGACGGGUGAGUAAUGCCUAGGAAUCUGCCUGGUAGUGGGGGAUAACGUCCGGAAACGGGCGCUAAUACCGCAUACGUCCUGAGGGAGAAAGUGGGGGAUCUUCGGACCUCACGCUAUCAGAUGAGCCUAGGUCGGAUUAGCUAGUUGGUGGGGUAAAGGCCUACCAAGGCGACGAUCCGUAACUGGUCUGAGAGGAUGAUCAGUCACACUGGAACUGAGACACGGUCCAGACUCCUAAGGGAGGCAGCAGUGGGGAAUAUUGGACAAUGGGCGAAAGCCUGAUCCAGCCAGGCCGCGUGUGUGAAGAAGGUCUUCGGAUUGUAAAGCACGUUAAGUUGGGAGGAAGGGCAGUAAGUUAAUACCUUGCUGUUUUGACGUUACCAACAGAAUAAGCACCGGCUAACUUCGUG